GAUGAACGCUGGCGGCGUGCUUAACACAUGCAAGUCGAACGGGAAAUAUUUCAUUGAGACUUCGGUGGAUUUGAUUUAUUUCUAGUGGCGGACGGGUGAGUAACGCGUGGGUAACCUGCCUUAUACAGGGGGAUAACAGUCAGAAAUGGCUGCUAAUACCGCAUAAGCGCACAGAGCUGCAUGGCUCAGUGUGAAAAACUCCGGUGGUAUAAGAUGGACCCGCGUUGGAUUAGCUAGUUGGUGGGGUAACGGCCCACCAAGGCGACGAUCCAUAGCCGGCGAGAGAGGGUGAACGGACACAUUGGGACUGAGACACGGCCCAGACUCAGACGGGAGGCAGCAGGGGGGAAAAGUGAACAAUGGGGGAAACCAUGAGGAAGAGACGCAGCGUGAAGGAAGAAGUAUCUCGGUAUGUAAACUUCUAUCAGCAGGGAAGAUAGUGACGGUACAUGACUAAGAAGCCCCGGCUAACUAAGAG
rnacentral:rRNA from 1 species